CAUACAUGAGUUAGCCUGUGAAUUCUGACUGAAAACACAGAUAAAUUUGUGCUGAGAGUGGCAAAAGACACAUCACUGAUAUAAAGGCUACUUCAUUUUCCUUCAGAUUAUCCUUCAGAUUAUCUUUUGAAGGGACGCUUUACCAGUUUUGAAGUUGUUUCUACCUGUGCUGAUUUUCAUAUUUUUAUCACCACUGGGGAAAAUAAAUAAAUAAAUAGAAAGACAGAAACAACCCCUCACUAUCUGAAUUCUGAUUACAAGGAAGAAGAAUGGUUGCAAACCGGAUCAAAGAGAGUCCCAAAGAUUUUCCUGCAUGACUUCAUACCUUGGACUGCAGCAGACUCUAGAAUCAGUGAAUCUAAUCUCUCAGGAUCCCUAGGAAGAUCCUCACCCUUAUGGAAACUUGGAUUGACCUUGUCGAAAUAAUCUUUGUUGUCUUCCACAAGAUUCUCUUGGCUCUAAUACUAUGUAUAUGUUUUGUUACAAAGAAGAGGAAUUUUGAACUUUAUUCAGGCAAUCUAAUGUAGGAAUAAGUAUAAUGAACAGGAUAUAAAAAUGACAAGAAAAAAAUGAUAGAACAAUGAGCAAUUCAGACUGCUUGUUUUCCAGGACUGUCGAUCUUUGACAUCUUAAGCCAUUGCUGAAGAGAAGGUGCCAUGGUGUCUGUUAGACCUGCCCACCGUAGGUAGUCUAUUUAAUUAACCAUUGCAGUGUUUGUAUACCUCCUUUCAUUCUGUUCCAGAUUUCUUAGAAAGAUAUUUCCCAUUAUUUAGUACAGUGAGGAGCAUCUAUCAUGUUUUGCAGGAAUUCAGCAUGAAGUUACUGUGGAAGGCCAGGCCACAUAGGAAAUUGAGCUGAAAGAAGACAUUAAUACUUCAGCUACAACUUGCACAAUUUAUCACAGAGAACUAAAUCCUGUGUUCCCAGUAGAAGAAUUUGGGUUU
ensembl:lncRNA